rnacentral:rRNA from 1 species
GUGCUUACACAUGCAGUCGAGCGGUAAGGCCCUUCGGGGUACACGAGCGGCGAACGGGUGAGUAACACGUGAGCAACCUGCCCCUGACUCUGGGAUAAGCGGUGGAAACGCCGUCUAAUACCGGAUACGACCCGCCACCUCAUGGUGGAGGGUGGAAAGUUUUUCGGUCAGGGAUGGGCUCGCGGCCUAUCAGCUUGUUGGUGGGGUAACGGCCUACCAAGGCGAUUACGGGUAGCCGGCCUGAGAGGGCGACCGGCCACACUGGGACUGAGACACGGCCCAGACUCCUGCGGGAGGCAGCAGUGGGGAAUAUUGCGCAAUGGGCGAAAGCCUGACGCAGCGACGCCGCGUGGGGGAUGACGGCCUUCGGGUUGUAAACCUCUUUUACCACCAACGCAGGCUUCCAGUUCUCUGGGGGUUGACGGUAGGUGGGGAAUAAGGACCGGCUAACUACGUGCCAGCAGCCGCGGUAAUACGUAGGGUCCGAGCGUUGUCCGGAAUUAUUGGGCGUAAAGAGCUCGUAGGCGGCGUGUCGCGUCUGCUGUGAAAGACCGGGGCUUAACUCCGGUUCUGCAGUGGAUACGGGCAUGCUAGAGGUAGGUAGGGGAGACUGGAAUUCCUGGUGUAGCGGUGAAAUGCGCAGAUAUCAGGAGGAACACCGGUGGCGAAGGCGGGUCUCUGGGCCUUACCUGACGCUGAGGAGCGAAAGCAUGGGGAGCGAACAGGAUUAGAUACCCUGGUAGUCCAUGCCGUAAACGUUGGGCGCUAGGUGUGGGGACUUUCCACGGUUUCCGCGCCGUAGCUAACGCAUUAAGCGCCCCGCCUGGGGAGUACGGCCGCAAGCUAAGACUCAAAGGAAUUGACAGGGGCGCGCACAAGCAGCGGAGCAUGUUGCUUAAU